rnacentral:siRNA from 1 species
GUGUGUUGUUGUUAUUAUUAAUAA